AACGAACGCUGGCGGCAGGCCUAACACAUGCAAGUCGAACGCUCCAGCAAUGGAGAGUGGCAGACGGGUGAGUAACGCAUGGGAACCUUCCCUAUGGUUCGGAAUAGCCCAGGGAAACUUGGGGUGAUACCGAAUAAGCCCUUCGGGGGAAAGAUUUAUCGCCAUUGGAUGGGCCCGCGUCGGAUUAGCUAGUUGGUGGGGUAACGGCCUACCAAGGCGACGAUCCGUAGCUGGUCUGAGAGGAUGAUCAGCCACACUGGGACUGAGACACGGCCCAGACUCCUACGGGAGGCAGCAGUGGGGAAUAUUGGACAAUGGGCGCAAGCCUGAUCCAGCCAUGCCGCGUGAGUGACGAAGGCCUUAGGGUUGUAAAGCUCUUUUGGCGGGGAAGAUAAUGACGGUACCCGCAGAAUAAGCUCCGGCUAACUUCGUGCCAGCCGCCGCGGUAA
rnacentral:rRNA from 1 species